UACAGAGGUCUCAAGCGUUGUUCGGAUUCAUGGCGUAAAGGGUGUGUAGGUGGCGCCGUAAGUCGGGUGUGAAAUUUCGGAGCUUAACUCCGAAACUGCAUUCGAUACUGCGGUGCUUGAGGACUGGAGAGGAGACUGGAAUUCAUGGUGUAGCAGUGAAAUGCGUAGAGAUCAUGAGGAAGACCAGUGGCGAAGGCGGGUCUCUGGACAGUUCCUGACACUGAGGCACGAAGGCCAGGGGAGCAAACGGG
rnacentral:rRNA from 1 species